AGGUUUCACCUAAACUUCUAGAAAGGAAGGUGAAAUAAAGUCUCAUCUAUACCUUUUUUGAUGUACACAGGACAUUUGUUGACUACUGUAGACAGCAUGGAAAAGUUCAACAUCAUAGAAUCUAAAGACCUGUGUGGACCUGGCCAAGCUGACCAAGUCCAGAGAAAAUGUCCCUUGAAGUAGGUAUAUUUUGAUAUUUAACCUCGGACAUCUUUAAAAGCCUCUAUGUGUGUUUCCUGGUUGGAGCUAAUGAAUUUAUCAGGUUGCUUACAGUUCAAGGGUUAAACAGGGUUCAUUUGAUAAUAAGAUGAAGAAUAGAGCUUUGUCAACUAUAAAGCACCAUGAAAAAUUGAGAAUUAAUAUUUCUACCUUAUGAAUAUAUUCAAGAUGAUCCCUUACUUGGAGAUAAUGGCUCAGAGAGAUUAUUUAAAGAGAAAACUGGAAAUAUUUUGACAUUUUUUAUGUGUUGGGGAUGACAGGAAGCCAAAGAUGUUACAUUUUCAAGGGAGAAUCUAGGAUUCAGCAUAUUUUACAUUCAACCAAGGAGUUCCAAGAUGGGUACAUGCAGGGAGAAUGGAGACUAAAGCCUUUGGCCAAUAUGGUAUUUUUUUUUUCUUUUAAACAACUUUAACUGAUAUAUAAUUUAUAUAUCCUUAAAUUAACUCAUUUUAACUGUACUAUUUACUGAACUUUAUUUAGAGAGUCUUGCCACCAGUUUUGCACUCUAACUUGAGAAUAUUUAUAUCAUCCAUCACAAAAAAUACUAGUGUCUGUUUGCAGUCACUCCUUUUUCCCCACACUCUACCCCAGGCAACCACAAAUCUUCUGUCUCUAUAAUUUCACUCUUUCUGGACAUUUCCUAUAAAUGUAACCAUAUGAUACGUAGCCUUUUUGUAAGCAUAUAGUUUUUGAGGUUUAUUCAUGUUGUAGAAGAUGUCAGUACUUGGUUUCUUUUAAUUACCAAAUAGUAUUCUAUCGAAUGGAUAUACUACAUUUUGUUUAUCCAUUGCCUGGUUGAUGGAUAUUGGGUUGUUUCCCCCUUUUUUUCUAUUAUGAAUAAUAUUACUAUGAACUGUUACCUAUAUACAAGUUUGGGAGGACUUAUGUUUCAUUUUCCUUGCAUAGAUGUCAAGGAGUAAAAUUACUAGAUCAUAUGGUAAACCUAUGCUAAACCACUUAAAUUGACAAACUAUUUUCCAAAGUGGUUGUAUUAUUUAACAUUCAAAUUGCCAAUUUACCCACAUUCACAUUAACACUUGCUUCUGUCUAUUUCUGACUAUGGCCAUUCUAGUGGGCAUGAAGUAAUAACUUGUGGGUUUAAUAUGUAUUUCCUUAAUUCCUAAUGAUAUUGGGCAUCUUUUCAUGGGUUUAUUAGGCAUUCACAUAUUAGGUGAAGAGCUGAAUUUUUUUGUACAUUUUAAAAUUAGUUUGUUUUCUUUAUGGAGGUGAAAGAGUUCCUUUUUUUCUGGAUUCAAGUCCCUUUUCAGAUAUAUGCUUUGCAAAUAUUUUCUCCCAAUUUGUAACUUGUCUUUUUCACUUUCAUGGUGAUAUCUUUCGAAGCACAACAGUCUUUAAUAUUGACAAAGUCAUUAUUUUUAUCUUUUAUCCUUGGAGCUUUUGAUGCCAUAUCUAUAUAAUACUUAUACAAGGUCACAAAAAUUUACUCAUUUUCUUCUAAGAUUUUGUCUAUACUUCUAGUUCUUGAAUUUAGGUCUAGGACACAUUUUGAGUUAAUGUAUAUAGUGUGAGGUAAGGGUCAAAUCCAUUCUUUAGCAUAUGGAUAUUUAAUUGCUCCAAUACCUUUCCACAUUAAAUUGUCUUAAUACCUUUGUCAAAAGUCAAUUGACCAUAAAUAGGAGGGUUUACUCUCAGCUCUAUUUCAUUGUUCUAUAUGAUAUUCUUAUGCCAGUACCAUACUGUUGUUGCUUUGUAGUUAGUUUUGAUAUCAAGAAAUGUAAUUCCCUAGCCUUAUUCUUCUCUUUCAAGGCUGUUUUGGCUAUCUAACAAGAUCCCUUGAUUUCUAUAUGAAUUUUAGGAUUAGCUUGUUAAUUUUGUAAAAUACAGCCAGAAAUCUUUAGGGGAAUUUCUCUGAAUCUUUAAGGCAUAGCAGUUUAAAUUUUUGGAACUUAAAUUUGAGUACUUUUAGAAGAGACAGUUGCUCUCCAAUUUGCCCAGAUCCCCACCACUUUUUGUUUUAUUCCAGAUUGUUUCACAUAAUACAUGACCCACCUGGUCGCUGAAGCAUUUGAAUGAACUCCUGAUCUCCACUUAGGAACGGUAGAGGAAGAAAUGGUGUAAGAAGGAUGAGACUGGGGCACUCUAAGCUUAGUAUUGAUAAAACAGUUAUCAGCAAACUUUUUCCUGAGGAUAAAGUGUAGAAUAAUAUUUCUAAAGAUUCUUAGUAAGGGUCUGAAUAAAAACUGGCAGUGAACCCUCA
rnacentral:lncRNA from 12 species